rnacentral:rRNA from 1 species
UAAGCAUAUCAAUAAGCGGAGGAAAAGAAACCAACAGGGAUUGUCUUAGUAACGGCGAGUGAAGCGACAAAAGCUCAAAUUUGAAAUCUGGCACCUUCGGUGUCCGAGUUGUAAUUUGAAGAAGGUAACUUUGGAGUUGGCUCUUGUCUAUGUUCCUUGGAACAGGACGUCACAGAGGGUGAGAAUCCCGUGCGAUGAGAUGUCCAACUCUAUGUAAAGUGCUUUCGAAGAGUCGAGUUGUUUGGGAAUGCAGCUCUAAGUGGGUGGUAAAUUCCAUCUAAAGCUAAAUAUUGGCGAGAGACCGAUAGCGAACAAGUACAGUGAUGGAAAGAUGAAAAGAACUUUGAAAAGAGAGUGAAAAAGUACGUGAAAUUGUUGAAAGGGAAGGGUUUGAGAUCAGACUUGGUAUUUUGUAUGUCUUGCUUUCGGGUGGGGCCUCUGCAGUUUACUGGGCCAGCAUCGGUUUGGACGGUAGGAUAAUGACAUUGGAAUGUGGCACUACUUCGGUGG